AGCAUAUCAAUAAGCGGAGGAAAAGAAACCAACAGGGAUUGCCUCAGUAACGGCGAGUGAAGCGGCAACAGCUCAAAUUUGAAAUCUGGCCGCAAGGUCCGAGUUUGUAAUUUGUAGAGGAUGCUUUUGGCGAGGUGCCUUCCGAGUUCCCUGGAACGGGACGCCAUAGAGGGUGAGAGCCCCGUACGGUAGGACCACCAAGCCUCUGUAAAGCUCCUUCGACGAGUCGAGUAGUUUGGGAAUGCUGCUCUAAAUGGGAGGUGUACGUCUUCUAAAGCUAAAUACCGGCCAGAGACCGAUAGCGCACAAGUAGAGUGAUCGAAAGAUGAAAAGCACUUUGAAAAGAGGGUUAAAAAGUACGUGAAAUUGUUGAAAGGGAAGCAUUCAUGACCAGACUUGGGCUUGGUUGAACAUCCGGCGUUCUCGCCGGUGCACUCUGCCAGUCCAGGCCAGCAUCAGUUUGCCCCGGGGGAUAAAGGCGGCGGGAAUGUGGCUCCCUUCGGGGAGUGUUAUAGCCCGUCGUGUAAUGCCCUGGGGCGGACUGAGGAACGCGCUUCGGCACGGAUGCUGGCGUAAUGGUCAUCAAUGACCCGUCUUGAAACACGGACCAAGGAGUCGUCUUCGUAUGCGAGUGUUCGGGUGUCAAACCCCUACGCGUAAUGAAAGUGAACGUAGGUGAGAGCUUCGGCGCAUCACCGACCGAUCCUGAUGUUCUCGGAUGGAUUUGAGUAAGAGCAUACGGGGCCGGACCCGAAAGAAGGUGAACUAUGCCUGUAUAGGGUGAAGCCAGAGGAAACUCUGGUGGAGGCUCGCAGCGGUUCUGACGUGCAAAUCGAUCGUCAAAUAUGGGCAUGGGGGGCGAAAGACUAAUCGAACCUUCUAGUAGCUGGGUUUCCGCCGAG
rnacentral:rRNA from 1 species